CCCCAAUGAACAGAUUAAUGGUGUGGUAAUAUCCCCCCAACAAAAAUUCCCCACAAAAAGAAAAAAGAGAAAAAUGCUAAUGAAAUACAGGAAUUUGAAUUUCUAUAUGACUUUAGACUAUGCUGAUCUCUAAUCAGGAUAAGACACUGUGCAAUUGGAAUGAGCAAACAGCCAAUGGUUAAUGCCGAUGUUGCUGUCUCAGUUGCAAUUCUUUCUGCUGUUGCUGGAAAUGAUAUCUGUUGAGUUGAGUGGGUUGCUGAAGAUGAUCAAUGGAAACUUGCUGAUAGGUGUCUCCCUUGAGCUCUGCAGCUGCAAGCCUUAGGUGCUGAACCUCUGCAACUAAUGUUUCAUUUAAAGCAUCUUUGAGUUUGGCUUGCUGUUCCAUUGCCUGAAGACAGAAUUUCAAUUCAUUGUUCUGGCUUGUAAGAGCUGCAGAAUCUCGCUGUAGUGCCGUAACCUGAGCAGACAACGUAGUUGCUUCUGCCUGUAAAGUUUGCACCUUGUGCUCUAAUUCUGAAAUGUACCGCGUUUUCCGCUCUUUGGAGCGGGCUGCUGACAGACGAUUGGCUAAAAUCCUUU
rnacentral:misc_RNA from 1 species